rnacentral:rRNA from 1 species
GUAGGUGGCAAGCGUUGUCCGGAAUUAUUGGGCGUAAAGCGCGCGCAGGCGGUCCUUUAAGUCUGAUGUGAAAACCCACGGCUCAACCGUGGAGGGUCAUUGGAAACUGGGGGACUUGAGUACAGAAGAGGAAAGCGGAAUUCCAAGUGUAGCGGUGAAAUGCGUAGAGAUUUGGAGGAACACCAGUGGCGAAGGCGGCUUUCUGGUCUGUAACUGACGCUGAGGCGCGAAAGCGUGGGGAGCAAACAGGAUUAGAUACCCUGGUAGUCCACGCCGUAAACGAUGAGUGCUAAGUGUUAGGGGGUUUCCGCCCCUUAGUGCUGCAGCUAACGCAUUAAGCACUCCGCCUGGGGAGUACGGCCGCAAGGCUG